GAUGAACGCUGGCGGCGUGCCUAAUACAUGCAAGUCGAGCGAACGGGCGAGAAGCUUGCUUCUCUGAUGUUAGCGGCGGACGGGUGAGUAACACGUGGAUAACCUACCUAUAAGACUGGGAUAACUUCGGGAAACCGGAGCUAAUACCGGAUGAUAUUUUGAACCGCAUGGUUCAAGAGUGAAAGACGGUCUUGCUGUCACUUAUAGAUGGAUCCGCGCUGCAUUAGCUAGUUGGUAAGGUAACGGCUUACCAAGGCAACGAUGCAUAGCCGACCUGAGAGGGUGAUCGGCCACACUGGAAGUGAGACACGGUCCAGACUCCGACGGGAGGCAGCAGUAGGGAAUCUUCCGCAAUGGGCGAAAGCCUGACGGUGCAACGCCGCGUGAGUGAUGAAGGUCUUCGGAUCGUAGAACUCUGUUAUUAGGGAAGAACAUAUGUGUAAGUAACUGUGCACAUCUUGACGGUACCUAAUCAGAAAGCCACGGCUAACUACGUG
rnacentral:rRNA from 1 species